ACAUAAAUUUCUAAAAAUAUAAAUUUUUUGGAAGUUUGCAGGAACAAAAUUCAAAAUCUGAAAUGGAUCCCACAAAUUUUAACGCUCUACUUAUGUUCUGUUGUUUUGUUUUCACAACGCUUUUGGUAAGAGUAGAAUAUUUUCUGUACCACUGGGUUGGAUCUCAGCAAAAUAAUACACCUGCAAGAAGACUUCAUAGAAAUUCAUCUCGUCAAAGUCAACCCAAUUCUUUAACAGCAGAUAUAGCUGAAGAAAUGUUGUCACAGUACUUAGGUGAAAGCGCCUUAGAAAAUGAGAGACUUUCUGUAGAAAUACAAACAGAACAGUCUAAUUUUAAUUUAGAUAGACUAAAUGGAUCUAAUACUCAACAUACAUCUAUAUAAAUUGGAUGAUUUGGUAACUCUACUAUGGUUCUAGUCAAGUUGUAUUAUGAGUUCUCUUUGAUAUAUACCAGUUUUAAGGAGCAAAUCGUUAAAAAGAUUUCUUUAUAACUUGCAGGACCCAGGGGUUACUGGAACUACUCAGUGAUGAGGAAUGAACGUGAGGCUGCUAGAAUUAAUCAGUAAUUUAAAAACAACAUUCGUUAUCGGAAGUAAUGUAAAUUCCUCAAUAUCAUAUAUUUUCUUUGGUCAUUAUAGAACUGGGUCUGGAAAACUUGAACUGAAUCAUAUUUUGUAGUACCCAUUUGCAUAUAAUUUAACAACAUAGAUAGUAGAUAGCAAUAACACAUAGUGGUGAUGCUAACGAUUAUGAUACCAAACGUGUCGAAGGACCUGAUUAUUUUUCGAUGUGCGGCUAAGCAACAGACUAAGAAGAGUUUCCAUCUUGUUAAAAAUUUUGUGGAUCCAUAACAUAGAAAACUUCGUAUUAACAAUAUUAAACUUAAUAACUUUCGGCAAUAAACAUAUUCU